GACGAACGCUGGCGGCGUGCCUAACACAUGCAAGUUGAGCGCUGAAGGUUGGUACUUGUACCAACUGGAUGAGCAGCGAACGGGUGAGUAACGCGUGGGGAAUCUGCCUUUGAGCGGGGGACAACAUUUGGAAACGAAUGCUAAUACCGCAUAAAAACUUUAAACACAAGUUUUAAGUUUGAAAGAUGCAAUUGCAUCACUCAAAGAUGAUCCCGCGUUGUAUUAGCUAGUUGGUGAGGUAAAGGCUCACCAAGGCGAUGAUACAUAGCCGACCUGAGGGGGCGAUCGGCCACAUUGGGACUGAGACACGGCCCAAACUCCUACGGGAGGCAGCAGUAGGGAAUCUUCGGCAAUGGACGAAAGUCUGACCGAGCAACGCCGCGUGAGUGAAGAAGGUUUUCGGAUCGUAAAACUCUGUUGGUAGAGAAGAACGUUGGUGAGAGUGGAAAGCUCAUCAAGUGACGGUAACUACCCAGAAAGGGACGGCUAACUACGUG
rnacentral:rRNA from 1 species